UACGUAGGCAGCAAGCGUUGUUCGGAAUUACUGGGCGUAAAGAGUGUGUAGGCGGUGCUCUAAGUUCGGUGUGAAAUCUCCCGGCUUAACUGGGAGGGUGCGCCGGAAACUGGAGUGCUUGAGCGUGGGAGAGGAAAGCGGAAUUCCUGGUGUAGCGGUGAAAUGCGUAGAUAUCUGGAGGAACACCGGUGGCGAAGGCGGCAUCCUGGACCGACACUGACGCUGAGGAGCGAAAGCCAGGGGAGCAAACGGG
rnacentral:rRNA from 1 species